UAUCGGGUAAAGCGAAUGAUU
rnacentral:misc_RNA from 1 species